GACGAACGCUGGCGGCGUGCUUAACACAUGCAAGUCGAACGGUGAAGCAGGAGCUUGCUCCUGUGGAUCAGUGGCGAACGGGUGAGUAACACGUGAGCAAUCUGCCCCGAACUCUGGGAUAAGCGUUGGAAACGACGUCUAAUACCGGAUACGACGCGCGAAGGCAUCUUCUGCGCGUGGAAAGAAUUUCGGUUCGGGAUGAGCUCGCGGCCUAUCAGCUUGUUGGUGAGGUAACGGCUCACCAAGGCGACGACGGGUAGCCGGCCUGAGAGGGUGACCGGCCACACUGGGACUGAGACACGGCCCAGACUCCUACGGGAGGCAGCAGUGGGGAAUAUUGCACAAUGGGCGCAAGCCUGAUGCAGCAACGCCGCGUGAGGGACGACGGCCUUCGGGUUGUAAACCUCUUUUAGUAGGGAAGAAGCGAAAGUGACGGUACCUGCAGAAAAAGCACCGGCUAACUACGUGCCAGCCGCCGCCGUAAAAC
rnacentral:rRNA from 1 species